GACAGAGGGGGCAAGCGUUGCUCGGAAUUACUGGGCGUAAAGGGCGCGUAGGCGGGAUGGCAAGUCGGUCGUGAAAUCCUUCGGCUCAACCGAAGAACGUCGAUCGAUACUGCUGUUCUUGAGGGUUGCAGAGGAGACUGGAAUUCCCGGUGUAGCGGUGAAAUGUGUAGAUAUCGGAAGGAACACCGGUGGCGAAAGCGGCGCGCUGGACCUCUUCUGACGCUGAGGCGCGAAAGCCAGGGGAGCGAACGGG
rnacentral:rRNA from 1 species